UCUAAGACUCGAAAUAUGGGCUGAACACUGAACAGUAUCUGGGCUGCAGGACAGAGUCCGACUUCUCCGUUGUUGCUACCAUUUGAUCUCGAAAAUGACACUUUUAAAUCUUGGACUCUUCAUGAAAGUUUUAGGCCUAUAUCUUAGCUUUCCAUA
rfam:Populus trichocarpa scaffold_2_contig_148, whole genome shotgun sequence.